AGGAUUUUACAUGUGAUGCUGGGAAUGAUUGACCUACAUAAAAAACUUAAGCGUGUAAUGAAAUACAAAAAUCCUUGGCCCAAAUCAUGUGCAGGCAGACAUAAACACAAGAUGUUUAUACCUAUUAAACAGUUCAGCGUGAAGAAUCUACCAAAAAGGAAUAGAGAUGAAAGACUUGUGGACAUAAUUAAAUUACUAUCGGAUUGUACUGUUCGAAUUACUGUAAAGAAAACAGAUUACUUAGGUCUAGAAACUAAACUGACAAACCAAGUACAAACCGGCACAGGCACAGUCAUCAAUGUCUUAAACAAGCAAAAGGGCAUGGCGAGAAUACAAAUUAAAACCGCUUUCCAUGUUGUUUCAAGUGACCUAGAGGCUCGGAAUACAACGGUAGAUUUUUUCUACGACGAAGAAAAAUCAGACAAGAUACGGACUUUGCAAGGCGCCUGCUUGGAUAAUUCUGAUUCAAAUGAAGAUUGGAGUAUUUUUGAAUGUUAUACCGAGGACAAAAAUUUGGCUGUUUUUUUAAAAUCAAGCCUUGAUCAUUAUUAUAAAAAAUCAUCAUUGUACAAGGAAGCAAGUAAUCUCGCUAUCAUCGUGUCCCAUCCUCACGGAUUCUCAAAACAUGUGAGCGUCGGAGAAUGGAGACCGUCUGAUGAAAAAGUUGUCGGAAGGAAAAUAAAACCAAUUAAAAGAAUAAGACACAACCCAGACUGGAACACGUCCAAGAAAAGAAAUGCCAUUUACCAGUUUCAAUUCCUCUCACAUCCCUGCAUAUCUUUUUUACCUCUACAAAUGAGUAGUUCUAUGGCAGUAAUAGUGUUAGCAUCAUUUCAACAAGGCUUUGCUUUCUACGACACUUCUUUGUAUCUAUAUGACAUGUAUCAACGUUCAUUCCCAACUAUGGUCAACAAAAAUGGACAGUCUGAAGCUGUAGCUAUUGAGUGUAAUGUUCAGUUUCCAGAUGAUACUGAGUCCAAGUGCCAGAUCUGGAGAUUUAAUAAACCUGUCAAAGAGGUCAGCAGCUAUUUUUAGCAGAAUAUUUAGGAUGACGCCGCCAAUCUUUCAUGUUCUUAGCCAGCUUUUCUUUGGACGACCUUUUCUUCGGUGCUUCCUGUUCUAUUCCUUGAAAAAAUGCCUGUUGAAAGUCAGUCAUGUCUUACAAUAUGAUAAACCAGCUCAGUUUUCGUCUCUUCACAGUAUUGAGGAGUUCCUUCUGAGACCAAAUCGCUUCUUAUGACGGAAGGCGGUAUCCAUGGAACAGCGGACGAUAUCUAUUUGGAGCUUGAAUUCCCUGAAGGUUCAAAACAAAUCAUGAGAGAUGAUAAAGACAUGGAUUAUUACUGGGAUGCAUUAACAUGUGCUGUGAAAAUAUGGAUGAAGCGAAGAUAAUGCAGACAGUAUUUUUUACAGAAUAUCUGUGUAUAAUCAUUAGAUAAAUUUACACUCAGUAUUCCACUAUACUAAUGUUUUACUUCUUUUAUCUAGACUAAAUUAUCUUCUUAUAUUAACUCCCUUUUAUAAAUAGAUGAAUUUUCCAAGAAAUAAUGUAUGAUUAACAGGGGUUUUAGCCAGUGGAGUAGCUAGGAAAUGGCCAUCAUUUGAUGGUCGGGAGGCUUGACCCUUUUGGGGGCCCUUGCAUUUUGCGUAAUAUUUAAUAUUUAAUGUAAAAACACUCAUUUGGGAACCCGGGGGGAUUUUGAAAUUCUCCCCUUCCCUCCUUCACAGUAGCUACGCCUCUGGUUUGAGCUCGAUCAAGACACCGGCCCAAAACCCUUCCUAUUGAGCAAAUACUAUGUAGAGGGCUGUCAGAUCUGGAAACUACUGCGCAGUUUAUCACAGAUAUAGGACUACUUAUCUGAGCCCUCCACCGUGUAAAAAAGAACAAAGAAGAAGAACCGGGAGCUGUCCCAAGUGUCAAUAAACUAUUAAAGAAUAGAAAUAAACUAAACACUACGACAAUCUGCAAACACUUCUUCCUGCUAAUCUUCCAAGGGAACUCUCAUACAUACCAAGUGUCCCAUAGUGCGAGCACAACAACAAUACAAAUAACUUAAUAGAAAACAAGAAAAACAUUAACUCUUUCUCUCCGUAAUUAUUUACCACAUUCUGGGGGAAUCAACGCUGGUAUCGUCAGUUAGGAGAGAACUAAAUACCGUUUUAAAAAGACAAUACUUCCUUUUUACAACUUAUAAAAAUAUUCUUUACUUUAAAUUCUUACUCCUAAACAAUAUUUUUGAUAAAGUAUACCGUGUCUUUCCAAAUUAUUUUUUAAACUAAAAUAACGGAAAAGAAAAAAAACAAAACAAAAAAAAAAAAAAAACAACAACAAUAAAACAAAAAAAAAAGCAAAAAAAAAAAAAAAAAACAAAAAACUUGGUGAAAAACAAUUAAAAAGGAUCAUACAUUUUUUUAUCAAACCAUUUAAUUUAUUUUUUUGGUGGACCUACACAGUUUAAACCUGUCUGUCAGUCAGUGUGACACGCUUAGAUCUUAAAAACUAGAUGAGCUAUUGAAAAUCUAAUUUCAUCAAAUUUUAUUUCGGCUGGCAAGGUUUAGCUUCAUUGGCUAUAUUUUUCUUCUGAAAGUGGACCGUUUUUUAAAUUAAUUAUGCAAGUCGUUUUUUUUUUUUGUUAUGCAAGUCGUUUUUUUUAAAAAAUAUGUAAGGGAUAUUUUAUUAACGAAAAAAGUUUUUUCUACACAUUUAUAGAUUCAAUUUUGUCUAAUGCCAAAAAUAAUGUAAUAAAAUUUGUUUAUACUUA